AUGUACGGUCCCCGACUCUCCGGCGAGUUCACUACGGGUUUGAAAGAUUUCCUCGUAGUGGCAAAUGCGAACAAGCAGCAAGGUUUUAUUAUCUGUCCAUGUGCUGUCUGUAAGAAUCAGAAGGGUUACUCCUCCUCAAGAGACGUUCACAUGCACCUGCUUCGGCACGGUUUCAUGCCAAGCUAUAAUUGUUGGACCAAGCAUGGAGAAAGAGGGGUUAGAAUGGAAGAAGAUGAAGAAGGGGAUGAUAUCGAUGACAACUAUCAUGAUCAUUUCGGUGAUACUUUCAUGGAGGAUGAUGCUGAAGGUGGGGAAGGGUUAGGUGAAGGUGAAGAAGAGGCACAUGAUGAGCCCGCUGAUGAUCUUGGUCGGACCAUUGCUGAUGCACGGAGACGCUGCGAAACUGACAAGGAUAGGGAGAAUUUGGAUCGCAUGUUAGAGGAUUACAAAAAGUCGUUGUAUCCAGGAUGCGAUAAUAGUCUGAAAAAGCUGGGCUGCACACUGGAUUUGCUAAAAUGGAAGGCACAGGAAGGUGUAGGUGACUCAUCAUUUGAAAAUUUGCUGAAAAUGUUGAAGAAUAUGUUUCCGAAGAAUAACGAGUUGCCCGCCAGUACGUACGAAGCAAAGAAGGUAGUCUGCCCUCUAGGUUUAGAGGUUCUGAAGAUACAUGCAUGCAUUAACGACUGCAUCCUCUACCGCGGUGAAUACGAGAAUUUGAAUGAAUGCCCUGUAUGCACUGCAUUGCGUUAUAAGAUCAGAGGCGAUGACCUUGGUGACGAUGUUGAGGGCGAGAAACCCAGGAAGAGGGUUCCCGCCAAGGUGAUGUGGUAUGCUCCUAUAAUACCACGGUUGAAACGUCUGUUCAUGAACAAAAAGCAUGCCAAGUCGUUGCGAUGGCACAAAGAGGACCGUAAGUCCGACGGGGAGUUGAGACACCCCGCUGAUGGAACGCAAUGGAGAAAGAUCGACAGAGUGUUCAAAGAUUUUGCAGCUGACGCAAGGAACAUAAGAUUUGGGCUAAGUACUGAUGGCAUGAAUCCUUUUGGCGAGCAGAGCUCCAGCCAUAGCACCUAUCCCGUGACUCUAUGCAUCUACAACCUUCCUCCUUGGUUGUGCAUGAAGCGGAAGUUCAUUAUGAUGCCAGUGCUCAUCCAAGGUCCAAAGCAACCCGGGAACGACAUCGAUGUGUACCUAAGGCCAUUAGUUGAUGAACUUUUACAGUUGUGGGCCAGACCUGGUGUACGUGUCUGGGAUGAGCACAAAGGAGAGGAAUUUGACCUACGAGCGUUGCUUUUUGUAACCAUCAACGAUUGGCCUGCUCUCAGUAACCUUUCAGGACAGACAAAUAAGGGAUACAAUGCAUGCACGCACUGCUUAGAUGAGACUGAAAGUGUACGUUUGGUUAAUUGUAAGAAGAACGUGUACCUAGGUCAUCGUUGA
rnacentral:rRNA from 1 species